rnacentral:lncRNA from 1 species
CCUAUGAUUAAAUGGUAUGCCGCGGGGUGAACAGUCUAGGCUGUGACACCAUUAUUUGGCUAAACUUUAUGAGGGUACUCACCUGGUUGAGUUGUGCUGUGGUUCAUUGGACAAGUUUGCACAGUUUACUAAUUGUGUGCUACUUGCCCUGGGCAUUGUGCCCCAUCACUUCCUGCUGAUCUCCGGGAAGGAGAUCACCAUCGAGGUUGGGCGGCUGUUCCUGGUUGUUCCUGUCUUCAACAUGGAGCCGUUCACCUGCAGCCAAUCUGACUUUCCGGCAAUGCCGAAUCUAGAAAAGGAAGUGAAUACAGAACUUUCAGUGACUUUAAAAAGACUUGAUUCCGAUACUUUACCUGUGCAGUCUUAUGCUUCAGCUGUAAAGAUGAGUGCUUCCGGUCUUGGUAACCUGAAAGAAAAAGAGAUAAGUUUUAAUAUUAAGGAAAUAUUAAAUAAGAAGGAGGGGAAGAGAGAUUUAGACUAUUAUAAGUUUAAUAGAGUACCUAAGGAUAGAUCUGUUAUUUUUAGA